CCAUUGUUAGACUUAUUUCUCGCAGGUACAUUGAAGAAAGCCCCUCCCCAGAGCUCCCCAUUGUUCCAGAAGCCCACCUGCAAGGAGACACCCUGGACAAGCUGAGCCACUUGGCGAAAGUUUGGCUCCAGCUCUUGGCUCUUUUGCCAGGGCCAGGUGGCUGCAGAGGGUGCUGCUGAAGCCGAUGACAGUGCUGACCACACUGCUGUAACUGCCACAGGACAUUCCACGGAGGGAGCGAGGAGGGGAAAGGUGGAACUCAGCGCAUCAAGACUGCAAGCCUGCAUGACUGGUGUCUCUCAAGGGGCCUGAAAGCCUUGGAGCAGUCCUGAAGAGUGGCCGUGUGGAUUUACCUGCUUCUAUCUCGCACCCUCUCUGCGCUCCCAUGGGCCAACACACUUCAGACAGUAACCCCUAGGGCAAGCCUCCGGUUCUCCUGAAUCAUCAGUGACCAUGAACUCGCUUUCACCAUCAUCAGAGCUGAAUGUGGGUCACUGAAGUCUGAAUGAGUAACUGUAACAGUAUGAAAGUGAGCCAGAGAGAUGGGCAGAGGGAAAUGGAAGAAAUUCAGUUCUCUCCCCCCCCACCCCCGCCUCAGCCUCUCUCUCACACCCAGGAGCUGAUCUGAAGUGAUGCCCCAUUCCAAAUCUGUCAACAGUUCAAUGCCAUUUUGGCGUGGGAAAAUCAAGGAACAAAUGCUACAUCCGGUGGCCCAACUGGAGGCAGCUGCAAGGUUGGCGGUGCCCAGAGAUUGGCCCAUGGAAGGCAGAAAGCAGGAACGUCACUGAACUCUGUUCUUGGGCUUGGGCCCGAGGAGGCCGAGAAGAUGGGCUGAGCCAUGGCCCUACCUCCUUUCCCCCAGACUUUUCCAGCUGCUGACCCACUGAGGCAACCCCUCGACCCUCCAUGUCUGUGGCCUUGAUCACAACCUUCCAUGGGCUUUUCUGCCUUCUCUGCAGUUAAGAGACUGAUGAUAUCCCAUCGAGGUGAAUGCCCAUCCGGCCACACAACCCAGCAGGGAGAGAACUCUACCUAGUUUUACCUCUCGGAACUCUAGAUAAGAGAAUGAGGAAGUGUGCUCCUGGGCCCAGUGCAAUAGCCUAGUGGCUAAAGUCCUUGCCUUUCACGUGCCAGGAAACUGUAUG